CACUAUGCCUAGCCCUAAACAUUGAUAAUACCCUACCCAGUUUAUCCGCCCGGGAACUACGAGCGUCAGCUUAAAACCCAAAGGACUUGGCGGUGCUUUAGAUCCACCUAGAGGAGCCUGUUCUAGAACCGAUAAUCCCCGUUCAACCUCACCUUUUCUUGCUCAUUCCGCCUAUAUACCACCGUCGUCAGCUUACUCUUUGAGGAACCAGCCGUAAGCGCAACUGGUACAACCUAAAACGCCAGGUCGAGGUGUAGCGAAUGGAAAGGGAAGAAAUGGGCUACAUUCAAUAACAAUAAUGCAUACGAACGAUGUUCUGAAAUAAACAUCUGAAGGAGGAUUUAGUAGUAAGUAGAGAGCAGAGUGCUCUGCUGAAGCCGGCCCUGAAGCGCGUACACACCGCCCGUCACUCUCCCCGAGCUAACCAUACAAAUUUAUAAUAAGCAAAACUUGCAAAGGGGAGGCAAGUCGUAA
rnacentral:rRNA from 1 species